UAAAAUUGUAAACUUAAGUAUUGUGCUUUCCCAAGUUCUGUGAGUCAUUCUAGCAAAUGACCACACUGAUGGGGCAGUGGAAACCACAGAAUUUGUAGUCAUUUAGUCAGAAGCACAGAUGGCCACAAAACCCUGGAGUUUCCGGCUGGUGCCUGAAGUGAGGAGGAUCUUGUGAGGGACCCAACCCUCAACCUGAGAAGUCUGUGCUCAAAGUCUGAAUAAAGUCAGAAUUGUAUUGAAGUGUUUAAGAUAAAUAAGGAGCAGAAAAAAGGCAAAAUUGUGUUUGGAAAACAUCAAGAGGGAAGACCACAUUUGGGGGACUACAGGAACCAAAAUACGGAGUUUGAAUGUUUUUCCUAAGCACAAUGGAACCUGUGGAAGAUUUUUAGCAGUAUUCGCAAAAAAGCUCUUACAAUAUUCCAUUCUGUGAGAAGUUUCGACCAAAAAGACAUCCACAAGUGCUGUCAAAUUGAAAGCACACAAGUCACCUUCCUAAAGAGAAGUUUUCUCAUGCCGUUUGCAAUGGAUUCCUUUCCUCCUGUCUCUACACUCCAGCCCCAGGCAACCAACGAUCUGCUUUGUCACUGUGGAUUAGUUUGUUUGAUUUAGCAUUUUAUAUCAAAGAAAUCAUAGAGUCUGUAUCUUUUUUUGUCUUGCUUCUUUCACUCAGCAUAAUUAUUUUGAGAUUUAUUGUGUUGUAGCAUGAAUAAGUAGUUAAUUUAUAUCUACUGGUGUGAAGUAUUCUAUUGCAUGGAAACAACACAAUUUAUGUAUCUAUUCACACAUUGAUGUACUUGGCAAGUAAAGUUGCUAUGUGGUGUUAUAAUUUGCAUUUUCCUAGUGAAUAAUGAUGUUCAGCAUCUUUUCAUAGAUUAGUUGGUCAUCCAGCUACUUUGGGGAAGUAUCUGCUCAAAUAUUUUGAUUAUUUUAAAAAAUUGGAUUGUUUGAUUUUUAGUAAGUUUCAGUAAACAUUUGAGUUUUUAGAAUUGUUUAUGCAUUUGGUAUACAGGCCCUUUGUGAGAUAUGUGAUGUGCAAAUAUUUUCUCCCAGUCUGUGGCUUGUCUUUUCAUUCUCUUUCAAUGACUUUCAAAGUGUUAUUUUUAAUUGUAAUGAAGUCCAACUCAUUAAUUUUUUUGUUAUGGUUUGUGUUUUCAUUGACAUAUCAAUAAAAUCUUUGCCUAAUUUCAUGCCAUAAAGAUAUUUUUCCUGUAUUUUCUCCCUGAAGAUAUAUAGUAUUUUGUUUUACAUUUAGGUCUAUUACUCAUGUUGAUCCAAUUUGAGUUAAUUUCUGUAUAUGGUAUGAGGUAUUAAGAGAGUUCAUUUUUUACAUGAAUAUUCAAUAACUAUAGCACUAUUCAUUCAAAAGAUUAUCCUGUGUGCACUGAAUUGCUUUAUAAAAACUCAGUUGUUCAUAUAUUUAUAUGUCUGUUUCUAGACUCUUAGUUGUUUCAUUUAUCUGUCUGUCUUUACACAAGUGCCACACUCUAUGAUUAAUGUAGUUUUAUAAUAAGCCUUGAACCUAGGUAGCAUUAUUCCUGUAACUUUAUUUUUCAAAGUUGUUAUGACUCUUUAUAUAAGCUUUAUAAAUGGCUUUUUGAAUUUCCAUAUGAAUUUUGAAAGUGGUCUGUCAUUUCUAUUAAAAAGAAGACAAAAACCCCUGGGAAUUUUAUUAAGAUUGCAUUAAAUCUAUAGGUCAAUUUAAGAAGAAUUGACAUUUUAAAACUAUUAAGAUUUCUAAUUCAUGCACAUAGUAUCUCUUUGCUUAUCUAAGACAUAAUUUUUUCAACGUUUUGUAGUUUUCAGUGUAUUAGUCCUUUACAUGUUUCCAGAAAUUUUUCCUGUUUCACUUAUUUCUAGUUUCUAAAGGUAGAAGUUGAGAUAAUUGAUUUCAGAUCUUAUUUCUUUUCUAAUGCAGAUCUUUCACACUAUAAAUUACUGAUUUAGUGGCAUGCAUAAAUUUCAGUAUGCUGCAUUUUUAUUUUUAUUUAAAAAUUAUUUGUAAUUUAUUUUUUAUUCUUCCUUUGACUCCCUCACCGUUCAGUUUUUAGAAGUACUUUAGCUAGUUCUCUCUCUCUCAAUUUUAUUUAAUUUCAUUGUGAUCAAAAAAUAUACUUUGAAUAACAAAUUUUUUUAAGUUUAUAAAGAUUUAUUUUCUGGUUAAGAAUAUAGUCUAUUUUGGUGACUAAUUCAUGAGCCCCUGAAAAUAAGGCAUAUUUUCAGUUUUAAAUAAAGUGCUAAAUGCCAGUUAUGUCAAUUUGGUCUCCUAAAUGCCAAUUAUGUCAAUUUGGUUUAUGAUAUUGUUUGGCUGUUCUCUCAUGUAUCUUUAUUGACUCUCUAUCUACUUAUCAAUUAUUGACACAGGAGUAUUUAAAUUGCCAACUAUAAUUAUGGAUUUAUCAAUUUCUCCUUCCAGUUCUAUCAGUUUAUACUUUAUGUAUUUUGAAAUUUUGUUGAAUUCUAGGUGGUAAAGCCCAUUAUCACUCAAAUUACGAUCAAAUGACCCAGUUUCUUGGGAAUGCUAACAUUCUUGAAUUUACAUUUUCUAUUGCUAUGCCUCCAAAUUAAUCGCCCCAUAUAAAGAGAUGCUUAGGCUGAGAGUAUGCCCAGGAUGGAAAGAGGAGACAAACACACGAAGUACCCAAUAGCAUUGUCUUCAAAGGACAGGCUCUGAUAGCCGCUGGAGGUGGCAUUGAAGAUUUAAUUUGGAAAGAUGUCAAGAAAACAAAGGAUUUCUCUCUGACCUCCUUUCCCCAAUGGAAAAGAUGAUAUCACUUCGAAGUUUCUUCUAAAACAAAGAAUAACUUUUCAAAAGUUUCCUUUGAAAUUGGAGUCAGUAAAGCUGAACAAAAAUAUCAUAAACACACCUAAUCUUUGUCCACUUCCCAAGCCUGUCCCAAUUUCUGAUGAAUGCUACACUCAGAACCAUUUCUCAUAUAAAGAGAACAUUUGCUAUUUAUUGGAAAAAGUUCCAUUUUUUUGACAAUGUACUGUAAUUCCUUGGGAGUAGGCUCCUAAAUUGUCAAUCUUGGCAUAUGAAAAAUUCAAACGAAUUAACAAUAAAAUUGUUAUAUUAGUCUGUUCUCACACUGCUGUGAAGAAACAUCAGAGACUGGGUAACUUAGAAAGGAAAGAGGUUUACAUGACUCACAGUUCUGCGUUGCUGGGGAGGCCUCAGAAACUUACAAUAAUGGCAGAAGGCAAAACAGAAGCAGGCACCUUACUCACAGUGCAGCAGGAUGGAAUAAGUGCAAGCAAGGGAUACGCUGGAUGCUUAUAAAACCAUCAGAUCUCCUGAGAACUCACUCACUAUCAUGAGAACAGCAUGGGGGAACCGCCACCAUCAUCCAAUUACCUCCACCUGUUCCCGCCCUUGACACAUGGAGAUUAUGGGGAUUACAAAUCAAGGUGGUGAAGAAAUGACAUAUGACAAAGCACAACAGAAAAUAUUCCUGAGGGUAAGCCAUGGCGUUUCAUCAAUUAACAAUAAAGGAAGAAAGCAGGCCUAAAGCCUAUGAUGGAAAAAGAAAAUGGCAGAAGAGAUUGUGAACUUAAGUAAAGUAUUGUAGGUUCAGGAGUACAUGUGCAGAAUGUGCAGUGUUGUUACAUAGAUAAAUGUGUGUCAUGAUGGUUUGCUGCACGGAUCAUCUCAUCACCCAGGUAUUAAGCCCAGCAUCCAUUAGCUAUUCUUUCUUAUGCUCUCCCUUCUAAAAAGUGUUCUACCCUUCACCUUAAAAAAUGCCCCAGUGUGUGUUCUCCACCCCCAUCAUGUGUGCAUGUGUUCUCAUAAUUCAGCUCCCACUUAUAAGAGAGAGCAUGCAGCAUUUGGUUUUCUUUUCCUGCAUUAAUUUGCUGAUAAUAAUGGCUUCCAUGACCUUGCAAAGGACAUGAUUUUGUUCCUUUUUAUGGCUGCAUAGUAUGUAUAUGUACCACAUUUCCUUUAUCCAGUCUAUCAUUUGAUGGGCAUUUAGGUUGAUUCCAUCUCUUUGCAAUUGUGAAGAGUGCUGCAAUAAAUAUACACAUGCAUGUAUCUUUAUAAUAAAAAGAUUUAUAUUCCUUUGGUUAUAUAUCCAGUAAUUGGGAUUGCUGGGUCGAAUCGUAUUUCUGCCUCUAGGUCUUUGAGGAAUGGCCACACUGUCUUCUACAAUGGUUGAGCUAAUUUACACUCCCACCAAUAGUGCAUAAGUAUUCCCUUUUCUCGGCAACCUCACCAUCAUCUGCUAUUAUUUUUUUUGACUUUUUAGUAAUAGCCAUUCUAACUGGUGUUAGAUGGUAUCUGAUUAUGGUUUUGAUUUGCAUUUCACUAAUAAUCAGUGAUGUUGAGCUUUUCUUCAUGUAUUUGCUGGCCACAUGUAUGUCCUCUUUUGAGAAGUGUCUGUUCAUGUCCUUUGCCCACUUUUUAAUGUGGUUGUUUGGUGGUUUUUUUCUUGUAAAUUGUUUAAGCUUCAUGUAGAUGCUGGAUAUUAGACCUUUAUCAGGUGGAUAGAGUGCAAAAAUUUUCUUCCGCUCUUUACAUUGUCUGUUUCCUCUGUUGAUAGUUUCUUUUGCUGUGCAGAAACUCUUUUGUUUAAUUAAAUCCCAUUUGUCAAUUUUUGCUUUUGUUCCAAUUGCUUUUGGCAUCUUCGUCAUGAAAUCUUUGCCUGUGCCUAUAUCCUGAAUAGAAUUGCCUUUGUUUUCUUAUAGGGUUUUUAUAGUUUUGGGUUUUACAUUGAAGUCUUUAAACCAUAUUGAGUUAAUUUCUGUAUAAGUUGUAAGGAAUGGGUCCUGUUUCAAUUUUCUGCAUAUAGCUAGGCAGUUCUUUCUGUACCAUUUAUUAAACAGGGAAUCUUUUCCCCAUUGCUUGUUUUUGUCAGAUUUGUCAAAGAUCAGAUGGUUGUCAGUGUGUAGUCUUAUUUCUGCGUUCUCUAUUCUGUUCCAUUGAUCUGUGUGUCUGUUCUUGUACCAGUAUCAUGCUGUUUUGAUUACUGUAGCCCUGUAGUAUAGUUUGAAUUCAGAUAGCAUGAUGCCUUCAGCUUCGUUCUUUUUGCUUAGAAUAGCCUUGGCUAUUUGGGCUCUUUUUUUGUUUUCAUAGGUAUUAUAAAACAGUUUUUUCUAAUUCUAUGAGGAAUGUCAAUGGUAGUUUAACAGGAACAGCACUGAAUCUAUAAAUUACUUCAGGCAGUAUGGCCAUUUUCACAAUAUUGAUUCUUCCUAUUCAUGAACGUGAACUUUUUUGUGUUUACUUUUGUCAUCCCUGACUCCUCUGAGCAGAGCUUUGUAGUUACCUUGUAGAGAUAUUUCACAUCCUUUGUUAGCUGUAUUCCUAUGUGUUUUAUUCUGUUUGUGAUGAUUGUGAUUGGGAGUUCAUUUGUGAUUUGACUCUCAACUUGACUCUUGUUGGUGUACAGGAAUGCUAACAAUGUUUGC
rnacentral:lncRNA from 1 species